rnacentral:misc_RNA from 1 species
CGAAAUGCGAUACGUAGUGUGAAUUGCAGAAUUCCGUGAACCAUCGAAUCUUUGAACGCAUAUUGCGCCCGAAGCUUCGGCUUAGGGCAUGCCUGCCUCAGCGUCUUAAAAGGACGAGCCCUCGCAUAAACGCGAAACGCUCGUGACUGAUCUUGCAGCAAAAUUAACCCCCCCAUUGCUUCGGAUCGGGAUGCGGUCUUCCCAUGGCUACGCAAUGGGCCGAUUGAGAAUGAGGACCCGGGCGAGGAACACAUACGCUUCAACUGGACAGGUUCACAUCAAACCGUAUGCGUAACACCAAGUUGAGGCGUGGACUUUGCACGUGUCAAGCAGGAAGCCAAGAAAUUGGCACCACAUACGUUCGACCUGAGCUCAGGCAAGACUACCCGCUGAACUUAAGC